rnacentral:rRNA from 1 species
UACGUAGGGUGCAAGCGUUAUUCGGAAUUACUGGGCGUAAAGCGUGCGUAGGCGGUGAUGUAAGUCCGAUGUGAAAUCCCCGGGCUCAACCUGGGAACUGCAUUUGUGACUGCAUCGCUGGAGUGCGGCAGAGGGGGAUGGAAUUCCGCGUGUAGCAGUGAAAUGCGUAGAUAUGCGGAGGAACACCGAUGGCGAAGGCAAUCCCCUGGGCCUGCACUGACGCUCAUGCACGAAAGCGUGGGGAGCAAACAGG